rnacentral:lncRNA from 1 species
UUGUGGUUUCUUGGAUCCAUUUCUCCGUAAGCAAAAAGUUGGUUCUUUGUUAUUUAUUUAAUUCAUCAAAAGUUUGCAACUUUUUUUGUUAUUGAUGCAUUUAGGUACCUUUUUUGACUUGAUUUGUAUUAAUUAAUUAUAUUUUAGUUUGUGGUUGUGGGGUUGUGUUAAUAAAAAAGUGGUAAUGGACUUGAUUUGUAUUAAUUAAUUAUGUUUUUGUUCUGUGCUAGCUUCUUGCAUGCUUUUUCCAAUUAAUCGGAGGGCUAGAUAAAAUCCAGUACCCUCUAAUUCAUGAUUACUAAUGUUCUUGUUAAGAAUUCAAAGUUAAUGUCCUGUAAUUUUCUUGAUUAAUAAUGUCUCUUGAAAAUCUUAAUCUUAUGAAUUCUUGAUUAAUAAUGUCCUGUAAUUUUCUUUCAUUUUAAGCAUUAUUCUCUUCAUAUAGAUUAACGAAAUUCGGUUAGGAUACUGUGAUUGUCUUAGCAAUUUAAUUAGACUGUGUUUGUAAUUUUUGUAGAGUGAAAAAUUGAUAUGGAAAAUGAACAAAGAAUCAACUUGGAUGCCUCUGAAAAAAGUGAUGAAAGUGUUUGUGUGAGAGUUAGGACAGAAUCAGAAAAUAAUAGUGAUACAGCUGUUGAAUUAGAACCAAAUUCAACAGCAGCAGUUCAUGGUUGUAGUCGUGGCCGUGGUCGUGGCCGUAGGGGUAAUACUAAUCCUGUCACUUCACAAAAACGAGAUGGCGGUGGUAGAGCAGUCUCUGAUGCUUGGAAUCAUUUCAAAAAAGUUAAGUUGGGUGAAGAAGUUCAAGCAAUUUGCAAUUACUGUGGGUUAGUUAUGCAAGGACAUUAUUCGAGGGGUACUAAUCACUUAAAAAACCAUGCUAAACGUUGUCCUAGAAGGUCAUUUAAGAAUGUACAGCAAAUGCACCUAUCUUUUUCUUCUAGAGUUGAUGGAAGCACUUCACUUAGUAAUUGUAGUUCUGAAUCAAAAUGGGAUAUGGCUACAGUAAAGCUUUUUGUAGCUAGAAUGAUUGUACUACAUGAGCUUCCCUUAGCAUUUGUUGAGUAUGUUGGGUUUUAUGACUUGUUGAAGCUACUCCAACCUUCUAUUGAGACUAUUAGUAGAAACACCAUCAAAGCUGAAAUUUUAAGGCUUUAUGAUGUUGAAAAGAAAAAGACAAUGGGUAUUUUGGAAGCUUGUGAGAGUAGAAUCGCAAUUACUACAAAUAUGUGGACUGCUAGUAACAAAAAAAAAAAGGAUACAUGGUUAUUACGGCACAUUACAUUGAUAGCUCAUGGGUGUUGCGAAGUCGUAUUAUGAGGUAAUAUUCUUGAAACUUGUUUUUUUUGUUUAAGUAUAAAUUAAUGUCAUGUAUAAUAUUUUAAUUAUUUUUUCACAUUGUUAGGUUUAUAUAUGUGCCAGCUCCACAUAGUGCUGAGGUAAUGUGUAAUGAGUUAUAUGAUUGUUUGAUGGAUUGGAAUAUAGAUAGAAAGUUGUCCUCUGUAACUGCUGAUAAUUGUGCUGCAAAUGAUUCUAUGAUUGCCUUGUUGUUGGGGAAAUUUUUCUAUUAAUUCAAUGAUUAUGGGUGGCAAAUUCUUUCAUAUGCGUUGUUGUGUUCAUAUAUUGAACUUGAUAGUUAGAGAUGGUUUGUCUGUGAUACAAAAGGGAGUUGAGAAAAUUAGAGAUAGUAUUCAUUAUUGGACAGCAACACCAGCUAGAGUUGAAAAGAUCUAGAUCUCUCAAUCUCUCUCGUUCCUCUCUCAAAACUUCUCCUGAAAUUUCUCCUCUCAAUCUCUCAAGUCUCAUCUGUAAUCCGUUCCUCUCUCAAUCGCUCUCACCCGUGAGUCGUGUCUCGUUCCUCAGUCCUCACUUAAUCUCUCUCACUCUUUCUUCAACUCUCCUGUAAUCUCACUCUGUCGCGGCCAGCAAAAGAGUUGAAAUUCAUCUCAGUCGCGGCUGAGUUCAUUUGUGGUUUCUUGGAUCCAUUUCUCCGUAAGCAAAAAGUUGGUUCUUUGUUAUUUAUUUAAUUCAUCAAAAGUUUGCAACUUUUUUUGUUAUUGAUGCAUUUAGGUACCUUUUUUGACUUGAUUUGUAUUAAUUAAUUAUAUUUUAGUUUGUGGUUGUGGGGUUGUGUUAAUAAAAAAGUGGUAAUGGACUUGAUUUGUAUUAAUUAAUUAUGUUUUUGUUCUGUGCUAGCUUCUUGCAUGCUUUUUCCAAUUAAUCGGAGGGCUAGAUAAAAUCCAGUACCCUCUAAUUCAUGAUUACUAAUGUUCUUGUUAAGAAUU